rnacentral:snoRNA from 1 species
CACUCCUAUAAAGGCAGGCCUGUGGUUUCCAGUCCUUGGACACAUAAGAAUUGGAGGCAAAGAGAUGUGGACUUGGGUAAGUCUGGAGCCAACUUGCUCUCUGCAGGCUCACGAUCACCCUUUCCUACACAG